CAACCUAUGGCAAAGUGUGCCUCUCAUUUCCCUGUAGCAGCUGUUCCUCACAGAGGAUAACCAUUGACUCAAAUGGUAGAUUGAAAGGUUUCCAGCAUUGCAGAUGACCCACACAGAGGAAAUUUUUGCUUCCUAAAAAUGUGCAUACUCCUUGGAAAUAACUACAUUUCCCUGAAUUUCUGAAGAAUUGAAAGCUGAGGAGCAGCCCAAAUCACAAUGUCCGAGAGAAUCUGUUGUUUAAACAGGUUGGCUGCUACUGAACCAGGAGAGGAGAAGUAGACAAUUCAUGCUGGUGACUUAUCUCCUUCCAUGGAUUCAUCUGGUUAUCGCUGAUCAGGGAGCUUGUCCUUUAUGUGAAUAAGGGCUGCGGAAUCGGGCUCUCCCCAGAAGACCUCAGAAAGCAGG